rnacentral:rRNA from 1 species
CCUACGGGAGGCAGCAGUGAGGAAUAUUGGUCAAUGGGCGGGAGCCUGAACCAGCCAAGUAGCGUGAAGGAUGACUGCCCUACGGGUUGUAAACUUCUUUUAUAAGGGAAUAAAGUGAGGCACGUGUGCCGUUUUGUAUGUACCUUAUGAAUAAGGAUCGGCCAACUCCGUGCCAGCCGCCGCGGUAAUACGGGGGAUACGAGCGUUAUCCGGAUUUAUUGGGUUUAAAGGGAGCGUAGAUGGGUUGUUAAGGCAGUUGGGAAAGUUUGCGGCUCAACCGCAAAAUGGCCGUUGAUACUGGCAGUCUUGAGUACAGUUGAGGUAGGCGGAAUUCGUGGUGUAGCGGU